rnacentral:rRNA from 1 species
GGGUUGUGAGGUUAAGCGACUAAGCGUACACGGUGGAUGCCCUGGCAGUCAGAGGCGAUGAAGGACGUGCUAAUCUGCGAAAAGCGUCGGUAAGGUGAUAUGAACCGUUACAGCCGGCGAUGUCCGAAUGGGGAAACCCAGUGCAAUUCGUUGCACUAUCGUUAACUGAAUACAUAGGUUAACGAGGCGAACCGGGGGAACUGAAACAUCUAAGUACCGAGGAAAAGAAAUCAACCGAGAUUCCCCAGUAGCGGCGAGCGAACGGGGAGCAGCCCAGAGUCUGAAUCAGCUUGUGUGUUAGUGGAACGGUCUGGAAAGUCCGACGGUACAGGGUGAUAGUCCCGUACACCAAAAUGCACAGGUUGUGAACUCGAAGAGUAGGGCGGGACACGUGGUAUCCUGUCUGAAUAUGGGGGGACCAUCCUCCAAGGCUAAAUACUCCUGACUGACCGAUAGUGAACCAGUACCGUGAGGGAAAGGCGAAAAGAACCCCGGCGAGGGGAGUGAAAAAGAACCUGAAACCGUGUACGUACAAGCAGUGGGAGCACCUUCGGGUGUGACUGCGUACCUUUGUAUAAUGGGUCAGCGACUUAUAUUCUGUAGCAAGGUUAACCGUAUAGGGGAGCCGCAGGGAAACCGAGUCUUAACUGGGCGUUAAGUUGCAGGGUAUAGACCCGAAACCCGGUGAUCUAGCCAUGGGCAGGUUGAAGGUUGGGUAACACUAACUGGAGGACCGAACCGACUAAUGUUGAAAAAUUAGCGGAUGACUUGUGGCUGGGGGUGAAAGGCCAAUCAAACCGGGAGAUAGCUGGUUCUCCCGAAAGCUAUUUAGGUAGCGCCUCGUGAACUCAUCUUCGGGGGUAGAGCACUGUUUCGGCUAGGGGGUCAUCCCGACUUACCAACCCGAUGCAAACUACGAAUACCGAAGAAUGUUAUCACGGGAGACACACGGCGGGUGCUAACGUCCGUCGUGAAGAGGGAAACAACCCAGACCGCCAGCUAAGGUCCCAAAGUCAUGGUUAAGUGGGAAACGAUGUGGGAAGGCACAGACAGCCAGGAUGUUGGCUUAGAAGCAGCCAUCAUUUAAAGAAAGCGUAAUAGCUCACUGGUCGAGUCGGCCUGCGCGGAAGAUGUAACGGGGCUAAACCAUGCACCGAAGCUGCGGCAGCGACACUAUGUGUUGUUGGGUAGGGGAGCGUUCUGUAAGCCUGCGAAGGUGGCCUGUGAGGGUUGCUGGAGGUAUCAGAAGUGCGAAUGCUGACAUAAGUAACGAUAAAGCGGGUGAAAAGCCCGCUCGCCGGAAGACCAAGGGUUCCUGUCCAACGUUAAUCGGGGCAGGGUGAGUCGACCCUAAGGCGAGGCCGAAAGGCGUAGUCGAUGGGAAACAGGUUAAUAUUCCUGUACUUGGUGUUACUGCGAAGGGGGGACGGAGAAGGCUAUGUUAGCCGGGCGACGGUUGUCCCGGUUUAAGCAUGUAGGCUGGUUAUCCAGGCAAAUCCGGAUAAUCAAGGCUGAGGUGUGAUGACGAGGCACUACGGUGCUGAAGUAACAAAUGCCCUGCUUCCAGGAAAAGCCUCUAAGCAUCAGGUAACAUCAAAUCGUACCCCAAACCGACACAGGUGGUCAGGUAGAGAAUACCAAGGCGCUUGAGAGAACUCGGGUGAAGGAACUAGGCAAAAUGGUGCCGUAACUUCGGGAGAAGGCACGCUGGUGUGUAGGUGAAGCCCCUGCGGGUGGAGCUGAGACCAGUCGAAGAUACCAGCUGGCUGCAACUGUUUAUUAAAAACACAGCACUGUGCAAACACGAAAGUGGACGUAUACGGUGUGACGCCUGCCCGGUGCCGGAAGGUUAAUUGAUGGGGUUAUCCGUAAGGAGAAGCUCUUGAUCGAAGCCCCGGUAAACGGCGGCCGUAACUAUAACGGUCCUAAGGUAGCGAAAUUCCUUGUCGGGUAAGUUCCGACCUGCACGAAUGGCGUAAUGAUGGCCCAGGCUGUCUCCACCCGAGACUCAGUGAAAUUGAACUCGCUGUGAAGAUGCAGUGUACCCGCGGCAAGACGGAAAGACCCCGUGAACCUUUACUAUAGCUUGACACUGAACAUUGAGCCUUGAUGUGUAGGAUAGGUGGGAGGCUUUGAAGCGUGGACGCCAGUCUGCGUGGAGCCAACCUUGAAAUACCACCCUUUAAUGUUUGAUGUUCUAACGUUGGCCCCUUACCGGGGUUGCGGACAGUGUCUGGUGGGUAGUUUGACUGGGGCGGUCUCCUCCCAAAGCGUAACGGAGGAGCACGAAGGUUAGCUAAUCCUGGUCGGACAUCAGGAGGUUAGUGCAAUGGCAUAAGCUAGCUUGACUGCGAGCGUGACGGCGCGAGCAGGUGCGAAAGCAGGUCAUAGUGAUCCGGUGGUUCUGAAUGGAAGGGCCAUCGCUCAACGGAUAAAAGGUACCCGGGGAUAACAGGCUGAUACCGCCCAAGAGUUCAUAUCGACGGCGGUGUUUGGCACCUCGAUGUCGGCUCAUCACAUCCCGGGCUGAAGUAGGUCCCAAGGGUAUGGCUGUUCGCCAUUUAAAGUGGUACGCGAGCUGGGUUUAGAACGUCGUGAGACAGUUCGGUCCCUAUCUGCCGUGGGCGCUGGAGAAUUGAGGGGGGCUGCUCCUAGUACGAGAGGACCGGAGUGGACGCAUCACUGGUGUUCGGGUUGUCAUGCCAAUGGCACUGCCCGGUAGCUAAAUGCGGAAGAGAUAAGUGCUGAAAGCAUCUAAGCACGAAACUUGCCCCGAGAUGAGUUCUCCCUGAGACUUUAAGUCUCCUGAAGGAACGUUGAAGACGACGACGUUGAUAGGCCGGGUGUGUAAGCGCAGCGAUGCGUUGAGCUAACCGGUACUAAUGAACCGUGAGGCUUAACCUUACAACGCCGAAG